rnacentral:rRNA from 1 species
UUAGUGGCGAACGGGUGAGUAACGCGUGGGAAUCUACCUUGAAGUGGGGAACAACUAUUGGAAACGAUAGCUAAUACCGCAUAAUCCCUCCGGGGGAAAGACUUCGGUCGCUUUUGGAUGAGCCCGCGUUAGAUUAGGUUGUUGGUGAGGUAAUGGCUCACCAAACCUACAAUCUAUAGCUGGUCUGAGAGGAUGAUCAGCCACACUGGGACUGAGACACGGCCCAGACUCCUACGGGAGGCAGCAGUGGGGAAUAUUGGACAAUGGGGGAAACCCUGAUCCAGCAAUGCCGCGUGAGUGAUGAAGGCCUUAGGGUUGUAAAACUCUUUCAGAAGUGAAGAUGAUGACGGUAACUUCAGAAGAAGCUCCGGCUAACUCCGUGCCAGCAGCCGCGGUAAUACGGGAGUGGCAAGCGUUAUCCGGAAUUAUUGGGCGUAAAGCGUCCGCAGGCGGCUUUUCAAGUCUGCUGUUAAAGCGUGGAGCUUAACUCCAUCAUGGCAGUGGAAACUGAAAGGCUUGAGUAUGGUAGGGGCAGAGGGAAUUCCCGGUGUAGCGGUGAAAUGCGUAGAUAUCGGGAAGAACACCAGUGGCGAAGGCGCUCUGCUGGGCCAUUACUGACGCUCAUGGACGAAAGCCAGGGGAGCGAAAGGGAUUAGAUACCCCUGUAGUCCUGGCCGUAAACGAUGAACACUAGGUGUCGGGGGAAUCGACCCCUUCGGUGUCGUAGCUAACGCGUUAAGUAUCCCGCCUGGGGAGUACGGUCGCAAGACUAAAACUCAAAGGAAUUGACGGGACCCCGCACAAGCGGCGGAGCAUGCGGCUUAAUUCGAUGAUACCCGUAGAACCUUACCUGGACUUGACAUAUAGGGAAAAGUUAUAGAAAUAUAAUGUGCAUUAGCGCCCUAUACAGGUGGUGCAUGGCUGUCGUCAGCUCGUGUCGUGAGAUGUUGGGUUAAGUCCCAUAACGAGCGCAACCCUUACCCUUAUUUGCCAGCGGUUCGGCCGGGAACUAUAAGGGGACUGCCGGUGACAAACCGGAGGAAGGUGAGGACGACGUCAAGUCAUCAUGGCCCUUACGAGUAGGGCUACACACGUGCUACAAUGGGGAAUACAGACGGACGCUAAAGCGUGAGCUGGUGCCAAUCCUAAAAAAUUUCUCGUAGUCCGGAUUGCAGUCUGCAACUCGACUGCAUGAAGUCGGAAUCGCUAGUAAUCGCGAAUCAGCAUGUCGCGGUGAAUACGUUCUCGGGUCUUGUACACACCGCCCGUCACACCAUGGAAGUGUGUUGCACCAGAAGUAGGUAGUCUAACCUUCGGGAAGGCGCUUACCACGGUGUGAUCCAUGACUGGGGUGAAGUCAUAACAAGGUAGCCGUA